AAGACUUCAACACACCUAACAGGAAUUUAGGGUCAUUGUGACAAGGGACACAAAACUUGUGACUUUCCUCUGAGCAAAUGUACUACACAU
rnacentral:snoRNA from 1 species